rnacentral:rRNA from 1 species
AUUGAACGCUGGCGGCAGGCCUAACACAUGCGAGUCGAACGGUAACAGGAAACAGCUUGCUGUUUCGCUGACGAGUGGCGGACGGGUGAGUAAUGUCUGGGAAACUGCCUGAUGGAGGGGGAUAACUACUGGAAACGGUAGCUAAUACCGCAUAACGUCGCAAGACCAAAGAGGGGGACCUUCGGGCCUCUUGCCAUCGGAUGUGCCCAGAUGGGAUUAGCUAGUAGGUGGGGUAACGGCUCACCUAGGCGACGAUCCCUAGCUGGUCUGAGAGGAUGACCAGCCACACUGGAACUGAGACACGGUCCAGACUCCUACGGGAGGCAGCAGUAGGGAAUAUUGCACAAUGGGCGCAAGCCUGAUGCAGCCAUGCCGCGUGUAUGAAGAAGGCCUUCGGGUUGUAAAGUACUUUCAGCGGGGAUGAAGGGAGUAAAGUUAAUACCUUUGCUCAUUGACGUUACCCGCAGAAGAAGCACCGGCUAACUCCGUG